rnacentral:rRNA from 1 species
UACGGAAGGUCCGGGCGUUAUCCGGAUUUAUUGGGUUAAAAGGGAGCGUAGGCCGGAGAUUAAGCGUGUUGUGAAAUGUAGACGCUCAACGUCUGCACUGCAGCGCGAACUGGUUUCCUUGAGUACGCACAAAGUGGGCGGAAUUCGUGGUGUAGCGGUGAAAUGCUUAGAUAUCACGAAGAACUCCGAUUGCGAAAGCGGCUCUCUGGUCUGUAACUGACGCUGAAGCUCGAAAGUGCGGGUAUCGAACAGG